rnacentral:rRNA from 1 species
UGCCAGCCGCCGCGGUAAUACGGAGGGUCCGAGCGUUAAUCGGAAUUACUGGGCGUAAAGCGCGCGUAGGCGGCUAAGUCAGUCAGAUGUGAAAGCCCAGGGCUCAACCUUGGAACUGCACCUGAUACUGCUUAGCUAGAGUACAGAAGAGGGUGGUGGAAUUUCCUGUGUAGCGGUGAAAUGCGUAGAUAUAGGAAGGAACAUCAGUGGCGAAGGCGACCACCUGGACUGAUACUGACGCUGAGGUGCGAAAGCGUGGGGAGCAAACAGGAUUAGAUA